GACGAACGCUGGCGGCGUGCUUAACACAUGCAAGUCGAACGGAAAGGCCCUGCUUGCAGGGUACUCGAGUGGCGAACGGGUGAGUAACACGUGGGUGAUCUGCCCUGCACUUCGGGAUAAGCCUGGGAAACUGGGUCUAAUACCGGAUAGGAGCCAUUUUUAGUGUGAUGGUUGGAAAGUUUUUUCGGUGUAGGAUGAGCUCGCGGCCUAUCAGCUUGUUGGUGGGGUAAUGGCCUACCAAGGCGGCGACGGGUAGCCGGCCUGAGAGGGUGGACGGCCACAUUGGGACUGAGAUAAGGCCCAGACUCCUACGGGAGGCAGCAGUGGGGAAUAUUGCACAAUGGGCGCAAGCCUGAUGCAGCGACGCCGCGUGGGGGAGGACGGCCUUCGGGUUGUAAACGCCUUUCGCUAGGGACGAAGCUUUUUGUGACGGUACCUAGAUAAGAAGCACCGGCUAACUACGUG
rnacentral:rRNA from 1 species